ACUCCUACGGGAGGCAGCAGUGGGGAAUUUUGGACAAUGGGCGAAAGCCUGAUCCAGCAAUGCCGCGUGCAGGAUGAAGGCCUUCGGGUUGUAAACUGCUUUUGUACGGAACGAAAAAGCUCCUUCUAAUACAGGGGGCCCAUGACGGUACCGUAAGAAUAAGCACCGGCUAACUACGUGCCAGCAGCCGCGGUAAUACGUAGGGUGCGAGCGUUAAUCGGAAUUACUGGGCGUAAAGCGUGCGCAGGCGGUUAUGUAAGACAGAUGUGAAAUCCCCGGGCUCAACCUGGGAACUGCAUUUGUGACUGCAUGGCUAGAGUACGGUAGAGGGGGAUGGAAUUCCGCGUGUAGCAGUGAAAUGCGUAGAUAUGCGGAGGAACACCGAUGGCGAAGGCAAUCCCCUGGACCUGUACUGACGCUCAUGCACGAAAGCGUGGGGAGCAAACAGGAUUAGAAACCCUAGUAGUCCCAUG
rnacentral:rRNA from 1 species